rnacentral:rRNA from 1 species
CGUAGUGGCAAGCGUUGUCCGGAUUUAUUGGGUUUAAAGGGUGCGUAGGCGGUUCCAUAAGUCAGUGGUGAAAUACAAUAGCUUAACUAUUGAGGUGCCAUUGAUACUGCGGAACUUGAGUACAGACGAGGUAGGCGGAAUUGACGGUGUAGCGGUGAAAUGCUUAGAUAUCGUCAAGAACACCGAUAGCGAAGGCAGCUUACUAGACUGUAACUGACGCUGAGGCACGAAAGUGUGGGGAUCAAACAGGAUUAGAUACCCUGGUAGUCCACACUGUAAACGAUGAUUACUCGAUGUUGGCGAUACACAGCCAGCGUCUUAGCAAAAGCGAUAAGUAAUCCACCUGGGGAGUACGCCGGCAACGGUG